rnacentral:tRNA from 1 species
GUGAGCUUGACUUAGUUGGUAAGGACAAUGCAUAAUAUGCUAGGUCCGGGGUUCGAACCCCGGACACCACA